GAUGAAGAACGUAGCGAAAUGCGAUAAGUAGUGUGAAUUGCAGAAUUCAGUGAAUCAUCGAAUCUUUGAACGCACAUUGCGCCCCUUGGUAUCCCGAGGGGCAUGCCUGUUCGAGCGUCAUUUCACCACUCAAGCCUGGCUUGGUGUUGGGCGACGUCCCCUUUGGGGACGCGCCUCGAAACGCUCGGCGGCGUGGCACCGGCUUUAAGCGUAGCAGAAUCUUUCGCUUUGGAAGUCGGGGCCCCGUCUGCCGGAAGACCUACUCGCAAGGUUGACCUCGGAUCAGGCAGGGAUACUCGCUGAACUUAAGCAUAUCAAUAAGCGGAGGA
rnacentral:misc_RNA from 1 species